CCCCCCAUUUGCUUUGACUCUCUGUCUCUCUACCCCUCGCUCGCGUCGUCUUCGUGGUACUCCCCCUGCUCUCUGCAGACUGCGCACAGGGAGAGAGAGGGAAGGACUGAGAGACCCUCGUCGUCUUCUUGGUACUCCCUCUGUACCCUGCAGCCUGCUUACACACAGAGAGACAGAGAGAGACAGAGAGACAGAGAGAGAGGGAGAGGGAGAGGGAGACGGAGGGGGAGGUGGGGCGAUUGGGUCAAAGUGAAAAGCUCAGUGAGUAAUCUCUGUCGUUCCGGGGGAAUAAACCUAGGGCUCAUACAUGUCUCCUGGGACUCCAUUUAUUGAAGCUCGCGGCCAUGGCCUCUGUUCCUUCCCAUGCAAGACGAUGGCUUUCUGGGAGAAUCCCUUCGCUUCGCCGAGGUCCCGAGAUGGCAGUAGUCUCUGCUUUGCAAUUUCGAGUGGCUCGACCAGCAUUUAUAUUUCUUAUCCUCUAUAGUGCUCCUGGAGUAUGUUCUAGAUAAGUAAGUAGUGUAUGUAGUAGGGAAUGAAGCCGUUGGUCCGUCGAGCAUUUUAUUUGCCCUAUCAUGUCGACAAUUCGUCUGAGGGAUUCACAACCCUCGAGAUGGUCUGAAUGUGUGUGUACUGAAUUGAAAUGCCGAGUGCUUUGUGGGGUUAUCAUUUUUUUGUGACUCUAUCAACUAUACUUGACAAUUUUGUAUAGAUUUCGAUUUUGAAUGAUGCAUUACAUCUCCUUUGCUA